rnacentral:misc_RNA from 1 species
AAAUGCGAUAAGUAAUGUGAAUUGCAGAAUUCAGUGAAUCAUCGAAUCUUUGAACGCACAUUGCGCCCGCCAGUAUUCUGGCGGGCAUGCCUGUUCGAGCGUCAUUACAACCCUCAGGCCCCCGGGCCUGGCGUUGGGGAUCGGCGGAAGCCCCCUGCGGGCACAACGCCGUCCCCCAAAUACAGUGGCGGUCCCGCCGCAGCUUCCAUUGCGUAAUAGCUAACACCUCGCAACUGGAGAGCGGCGCGGCCACGCCGUAAAACACCCAACUUCUGAAUGUUGACCUCGAAUCAGGUAGGAAUACCCGCUGAACUUAAGC